GGGAAUUUUGGAAAUUUUCUGAGCAUUUAGAGAAUGAGGACUGGGACUUUAGUUAGUCCACAUCUAGAAUUCUCCAAAAUCUAGACAUACCUUUCUGUACCCUAGAAAACCAUGCUGUGUUCCAGUUUACUUUGAAUGUUUCAGUGAAAAUGAUGAAGCUGAAAAAAUGAUGGAGCCCUAUUUUACCUGAACUUGGACCUGCAGCCUCCCUCCUGCUAAAUGGACUGAUCCUCGCCCUCACCUGACUGUUCCACCCCCACACCUGU
rnacentral:lncRNA from 1 species